AAGCAGGGCUCUUCAGCACCCUCUGCCUCACUCGGGCUUCCUGACCCAUUUCCCCUCCCGGCCACCUGCCCCUCACCUGGCACUCCUGCCACUCCUCGCUCCAGCCCCGUGCCUCCGGCCCGCACCUUAUGGGCACCACCUUCGCCCAGUGGCCCCACGGUGAACUGAAAGGGGCUGCCUGGCACGUGCUGGCCACGAUACUUGACAGUGACUGUGUGAGGCCCCAUCUCCUGGGGCACAAAGCGCACGCUGUAUGCACUGUCCUCCCCCUCCACGAUCUCUGCGGCUUCCAUCUUGCCUGAUGGGCUGGUCACCUGUGCAGUCAUGUCCUGAGAGCUGGCCUCACCUGUAGGGUUGGGGAUAUCAUGGCAACACUGGCACUCUUGCUGGGCCCAGCCCUUCCCUCCAUCCUGAGUAAAACCCCCUCCUCUGCUCAGACCAGGCCUGGCUGUCCGGGGCCUGGCCAACCGCACCGUCCCCUCCCACUUCCCUGUGAGGACCCCGGCCCCGGCCGGCGCUGUCUCUGCUCACCCUCUUGCCGGGUGAUGCUGCCAAAGGAGCCCAGGCGUUCCCGGCCCAGGAAGUCCCCGAAGACAGCGGGGAAGGGGUCCCCGCCAACCUGGGUGGACUCCUCCACCCGCACCUCACGCUUGGUCUCCCCGCCCCGUGUCUUGCUGAUCUCCGUGCGCUCCGUGCGGGUGUACGUGUGGCUGCUGCGCGUGAAGGUGCGCGUCAGGCGCUCCUGGGCAGAAACCAUCUGGAACCAGUUCCCUGUGUGACCGAGGAAGCGAGGGCUCCGCCAAGAAUGGGCCUCUGAUGUACAGUGACCACUAGCAAAAAUGCCUCAGUGGGGGCCUGGCAGGGAGCCAGGCACUGUCCCAGAGGGCCAUGGGACAGGCUGUCUGGAAAAUUCCCUAAGGUGAUCUCUGCCUUGGAUGGGCCCUCCACGGCCAGCGACAGACCCCCUGGAGAUGGAGGUGGAGCUGAGAUCAGAGGUCCUGCCCUUGCCCCUGCACCUGGCUAGACCCCACCCCAGCCCCUGCCUGCAACACCCCUUACCUUCCCCAGCAUCCUUGGUGACAAUGGUGAAGGUAGCUGGCUUGUUGACCAUGCCAUGGCUCAGGCCUGGCCCGUAGGCACUGACAUGGCGGCUGUUGAUGGCAUCCACGUAGAACUGCAGGGGGCUCCCUGGGGUAGACAGAGAAGGGAGAGCUGGGUCAGCAGAGGGACAAGGGGGUACCUGAGCCCACCUUGGCCUCCAGCACCUUCUAGCAGCCUCCCUGCUUAGCCCUCCUUGCUGAGCUGCGAGGACCUGGCUCCUCGAAGGACAUCUGCCUCUCACCAGGACAUAAGCCUCCCCAGGGCCUCACAUGGUGUCUGUACACAGCAGGUGCUCAAUAAAUAUUGAAAGAAGGCA